UGUCCCAUGGCCCAGUCGGUUAAGGCGUCUGACUGUUAAUCAGAAGAUCGGGAGUUCGAGUCUCCCUGGGACAG
rnacentral:tRNA from 1 species